rnacentral:rRNA from 1 species
AUUGAACGCUGGCGGCAGGCUUAACACAUGCAAGUCGAGCGGGGUGAUGGUGCUUGCACUAUCACUUAGCGGCGGACGGGUGAGUAAUGCUUAGGAAUCUGCCUAUUAGUGGGGGACAACAUCUCGAAAGGGAUGCUAAUACCGCAUACGUCCUACGGGAGAAAGCAGGGGAUCACUUGUGACCUUGCGCUAGUAGAUGAGCCUAAGUCGGAUUAGCUAGUUGGUGGGGUAAAGGCCUACCAAGGCGACGAUCUGUAGCGGGUCUGAGAGGAUAAUCCGCCACACUGGGACUGAGACACGGCCCAGACUCCUACGGGAGGCAGCAGUGGGGAAUAUUGGACAAUGGGGGGAACCCUGAUCCGGCCAUGCCGCGUGUGUGAAGAAGGCCUUAUGGUUGUAAAGCACUUUAAGCGAGGAGGAGGCUCUUUUGGUUAAUACCCAAGAUGAGUGGACGUUACUCGCAGAAUAAGCACCGGCUAACUCUGUGCCAGCCGCCGCCGUAA